UACGUAGGGUGCAAGCGUUGUCCGGAAUUAUUGGGCGUAAAGAGCUCGUAGGCGGUCUGUCGCGUCGGCUGUGAAAUCCCGAGGCUCAACCUCGGGUCUGCAGUCGAUACGGGCAAACUAGAGUAUUGCAGGGGAGACUGGAAUUCCUGGUGUAGCGGUGAAAUGCGCAGAUAUCAGGAGGAACACCGGUGGCGAAGGCGGGUCUCUGGGCAAUAACUGACGCUGAGGUGCGAAAGCGUGGGGAGCAAACAGG
rnacentral:rRNA from 1 species